rnacentral:rRNA from 1 species
GACGAACGCUGGCGGCGUGCUUAACACAUGCAAGUCGAGCGGUAAGGCCCUCGGGUACACGAGCGGCGAACGGGUGAGUAACACGUGGGUGACCUGCCUCUAGCUCUGGGAUAAGCCUGGGAAACUGGGUCUAAUACCGGAUAUGACUCCACGGCGCAUGUUGUGGGGUGGAAAGCCUUGUGUGGCUAGAGAUGGGCCCGCGGCCUAUCAGCUUGUUGGUGGGGUGAUGGCCUACCAAGGCGACGACGGGUAGCCGGCCUGAGAGGGCGACCGGCCACACUGGGACUGGGACACGGCCCAGGACUCCUACGGGAGGCAGCAGUGGGGAAUCUUGCGCAAUGGGACGAAAGCCUGACGCAGCGACGCCGCGUGAGGGAUGAC